rnacentral:rRNA from 1 species
UACGGGGGGGGCAAGCGUUGUUCGGAAUUACUGGGCGUAAAGCGCGCGUAGGCGGAUAUUUAAGUCAGGGGUGAAAUCCCGGGGCUCAACCCUGGAACUGCCUUUGAUACUGGAUAUCUGGAGUUCGGGAGAGGUGAGUGGAAUUCCGAGUGUAGAGGUGAAAUUCGUAGAUAUUCGGAGGAACACCAGAAGCGAAGGCGGCUCACUGGCCCGAUACUGACGCUGAGGCGCGAAAGCGUGGGGAGCAAACAGG